GCGAGUGGCGAACGGGUGAGUAAUAUAUCGGAACGUGCCCUGGAGUGGGGGAUAACGCAGCGAAAGUUGCGCUAAUACCGCAUACGAUCUAAGGAUGAAAGCGGGGGAUUCGCAAGAACCUCGUGCUCCUGGAGCGGCCGAUAUCUGAUUAGCUAGUUGGUGGGGUAAAGGCCUACCAAGGCAUCGAUCAGUAGCUGGUCUGAGAGGACGACCAGCCACACUGGAACUGAGACACGGUCCAGACUCCUACGGGAGGCAGCAGUGGGGAAUUUUGGACAAUGGGCGAAAGCCUGAUCCAGCAAUGCCGCGUGAGUGAAGAAGGCCUUCGGGUUGUAAAGCUCUUUUGUCAGGGAAGAAACGGUGCGGGCUAAUAUCCUGCACUAAUGACGGUACCUGAAGAAUAAGCACCGGCUAACUACGUGCCAGCAGCCGCGGUAAUACGUAGGGUGCAAGCGUUAAUCGGAAUUACUGGGCGUAAAGCGUGCGCAGG
rnacentral:rRNA from 1 species